UGUGCAUUGGUGGAGUCCCUCAGCCUGGCCUGUGCCCUCUCACAAUUUGGGACCCCUCAGGGGAUGUCAGAGAGGUGGUUUCAGCCAGAUCCCGCAGGCCAGGCUGAGGGACUCCACUGGUGCACA
rnacentral:pre_miRNA from 1 species